GCCUUCGUGGUAUAAUGGUCAGCACACUCGGCGCGUAUUCGAGAGGUCCUAGGUUCAAGUCCCGGCGAGGGCG
rfam:Stegodyphus mimosarum contig53021, whole genome shotgun sequence.